UAUCUCUGUAGAGUCUGCAUAUCAAUAAGCGGAGGAAAAGAAACUAACUAGGAUUCCCUUAGUAACGGCGAGUGAAGCGGGAAGAGCUCAAAUUUGAAAUCUUCAAGGUUUUACCUUGACGAAUUGUAGUUUAAAGAAGUGUUUUCUGUUGAAGUUUCGGUAAAAGUUCUUUGGAAUAGGACAUCAUAGAGGGUGAGAAUCCCGUAUUUGACCGUUACUUUCAGCUGUGUGAUACACUUUCAAAGAGUCGGAUUGUUUGGGAAUGCAGUCCAAAAUGGGUGGUAAAUUUCAUCUAAAGCUAAAUAUUGGCGAGAGACCGAUAGCGAACAAGUACCGUGAGGGAAAGAUGAAAAGAACUUUGAAAAGAGAGUUAAACAGUACGUGAAAUUGUCAAAAGGGAAGCGUUUGACACCAGUGUUGUUUUCUCGAAAAUCAAUUAAAAAAGGCUUGGAUUUUGUGUUGUAUUGACCUUAUAAGCUUACUGUCACUCUUUUCAUGUCUUUUUUAAUGCACUUUUCGUUUAACAAGUCAACAUCAAUUUCUUUUGUUGUAAAAGAGUCAUUGGAAGGUGGCUUUCACUUUCGGUAGAAAGUGUUUAUAGCCUUUGACUUCUGCAAUCGGAGAGACUGAGGUCUGCAGCGUAGAUCCUUCUGGAUUAGAUUCAUUAGAUGCUAAGUUACUACCGUUUUAUAGACAACUUGUUGACUAUAUUAGAUCCUGUAGCUUACUCGCUUAUGCUAAUUUUACCUACGCUUAGGAUGUUGAAGAUGUAGCACAUCAU
rnacentral:rRNA from 1 species